AUGAACGCUAGCGACAGGCUUAACACAUGCAAGUCGAGGGGCAGCACAGGUAGCAAUACCGGGUGGCGACCGGCGCACGGGUGAGUAACGCGUAUGCAACUUACCUAUCAGAGGGGGAUAACCCGGCGAAAGUCGGACUAAUACCGCAUGAAGCAGGGGCCCCGCAUGGGGAUAUUUGCUAAAGAUUCAUCGCUGAUAGAUAGGCAUGCGUUCCAUUAGGCAGUUGGCGGGGUAACGGCCCACCAAACCGACGAUGGAUAGGGGUUCUGAGAGGAAGGUCCCCCACAUUGGUACUGAGACACGGACCAAACUCCUACGGGAGGCAGCAGUGAGGAAUAUUGGUCAAUGGGCGUAAGCCUGAACCAGCCAAGUCGCGUGAGGGAUGAAGGUUCUAUGGAUCGUAAACCUCUUUUAUAAGGGAAUAAAGUGCGGGACGUGUCCCGUUUUGUAUGUACCUUAUGAAUAAGGAUCGGCUAACUCCGUGCCAGCAGCCGCGGUAAUACGGAGGAUCCGAGCGUUAUCCGGAUUUAUUGGGUUUAAAGGGUGCGUAGGCGGCCUUUUAAGUCAGCGGUGAAAGUCUGUGGCUCAACCAUAGAAUUGCCGUUGAAACUGGGAGGCUUGAGUAUGUUUGAGGCAGGCGGAAUGCGUGGUGUAGCGGUGAAAUGCUUAGAUAUCACGCAGAACCCCGAUUGCGAAGGCAGCCUGCCAAGCCAUGACUGACGCUGAUGCACGAAAGCGUGGGGAUCAAACAGGAUUAGAUACCCUGGUAGUCCACGCAGUAAACGAUGAUCACUAGCUGUUUGCGAUACACUGUAAGCGGCACAGCGAAAGCGUUGAGUGAUCCACCUGGGGAGUACGCCGGCAACGGUGAAACUCAAAGGAAUUGACGGGGGCCCGCACAAGCGGAGGAACAUGUGGUUUAAUUCGAUGAUACGCGAGGAACCUUACCCGGGUUUGAACGCAUUCGGACCGAGGUGGAAACACCUCUUCUAGCAAUAGCCGUUUGCGAGGUGCUGCAUGGUUGUCGUCAGCUCGUGCCGUGAGGUGUCGGCUUAAGUGCCAUAACGAGCGCAACCCUUGCCACUAGUUACUAACAGGUGAUGCUGAGGACUCUGGUGGGACUGCCAGCGUAAGCUGCGAGGAAGGCGGGGAUGACGUCAAAUCAGCACGGCCCUUACAUCCGGGGCGACACACGUGUUACAAUGGCGUGGACAAAGGGAAGCCACCUGGCGACAGGGAGCGAAUCCCCAAACCACGUCUCAGUUCGGAUCGGAGUCUGCAACCCGACUCCGUGAAGCUGGAUUCGCUAGUAAUCGCGCAUCAGCCAUGGCGCGGUGAAUACGUUCCCGGGCCUUGUACACACCGCCCGUCAAGCCAUGGGAGCCGGGGGUACCUGAAGUCCGUAACCGCGAGGAUCGGCCUAGGGUAAAACUGGUGACUGGGGCU
rnacentral:rRNA from 1 species